rnacentral:rRNA from 1 species
GAUGAACGCUGGCGGCGUGCCUAAUACAUGCAAGUCGAGCGAACGGAUGAGAAGCUUGCUUCUCUGAUGUUAGCGGCGGACGGGUGAGUAACACGUGGAUAACCUACCUAUAAGACUGGGAUAACUUCGGGAAACCGGAGCUAAUACCGGAUAAUAUUUUGAACCGCAUGGUUCAAAAGUAAAAGACGGUCUUGCUGUCACUUAUAGAUGGAUCCGCGCUGCAUUAGCUAGUUGGUAAGGUAACGGCUUACCAAGGCAACGAUGCAUAGCCGACCUGAGAGGGUGAUCGGCCACACUGGAACUGAGACACGGUCCAGACUCCUACGGGAGGCAGCAGUAGGGAAUCUUCCGCAAAGGGCGAAAGCCUGACGGAGCAACGCCGCGUGAGUGAUGAAGGUCUUCGGAUCGUAAAACUCUGUUAUUAGGGAAGAACAUAUGUGUAAGUAACUGUGCACAUCUUGACGGUACCUAAUCAGAAAGCCACGGCUAACUACGUG